rnacentral:rRNA from 1 species
UACAGAGGUGGCAAGCGUUGUUCUGAAUUACUGGGCGUAAAGGGCGCGUAGGCGGCCUUCUAAGUCAGACGUGAAAUCCCCAGGCUUAACUUGGGAACUGCGUCUGAUACUGGGAGGCUUGAGUGCGGGAGAGGGAUGUGGAAUUCCAGGUGUAGCGGUGAAAUGCGUAGAUAUCUGGAGGAACACCGGUGGCGAAGGCGGCAUCCUGGACCGACACUGACGCUGAGGCGCGAAAGCUAGGGGAGCAAACGGG